GGGCCGUUAGCUCAGCGGUAGAGCAGGAGGCUUUUAACCUCUUGGUCGAAGGUUCGAAUCCUUCACGGCCCA
rnacentral:tRNA from 1 species